rnacentral:ncRNA from 1 species
AUAAAUGCCUUGAAGGGGAAGAGUAUAACAAGAAACGUCUUCAGAGAGGAGAAUCAUUAGCUGGGAGAUUCUCUAGAUAGUUAUGUUAGAAGGUAGCCCUGGAGCAUCUUUUCUGAACGGAAUAGUUCUCAUUAGGAAAAGACGGAUUUGUCCGUUAUCAAGUUAAGAGUAUAAGCAAAUUCCUGGAUUUGUUUGUAAAUAAAGGUGGUACCGCGAUGUCCCUCGUCCUUUUU